ACGGGUGAGUAACGCGUGAGCAACCUGUCCCAGACAGGGGGAUAACACUUGGAAACAGGUGCUAAUACCGCAUAAGACCACGGGGUCACAUGGCCCAGGGGUAAAGGAGCGAUCCGGUUUGGGGUGGGCUCGCGUCCGAUUUAGAUAGUUGGUGAGGUAACGGCCCACCAAGUCAACGAUCGGUAGCCGACCUGAGAGGGUGAUCGGCCACAUUGGAAUUUGAGAGACGGUCCAAACUCCUACGGGAGGCAGCAGUGGGGAAUAUUGGGCAAUGGGCGAAAGCCUGAACCCCCAGCAACGCCGCGUGAGUGAAGAAGGCCUUCGGGUUGUAAAGCUCUGUUAUAGUUGACGAAGGAAGUGACGGUAGGCUAUAAGGAAGCCCCGGCUAACUACGUGCCAGCCGCUGC
rnacentral:rRNA from 1 species